rnacentral:rRNA from 1 species
AUGGCCGGUGCAGCGAAGGCGUCUUGGAUGGUGGCCAUGAGCGUGGGCGCGGUGGAGGCGCUCAAGGACCAGGCGGGACUCUGCCGGUGGAACUACGCUCUGCGGUCCAUCCACCGGGCAGCCAAGGCCAAAUCCAACAUCCACGCCGGCGUCUCGCAGGGCAAGAAGCAGCUUCCGGCCUCGGCGGCGGCCGUGCCGGAGAGGCGGCGAGCGGAGAAGGCCGAGGAGGGGCUGAGGACGGUAAUGUACCUCAGCUGCUGGGGACCAAACUAG